rnacentral:lncRNA from 1 species
UGUGAGAAUUAAACAGAUACCAAGUGUCUAAACUGCUCUAUGCACAUAGUAUAUGUUCAAUAAAUGGUAGUUAUACACCAGGUGCAGUGGCUCACCCUCAUAAUCCCAGCACUUUGGGAGGCUGAGGUGGGAGGAUUAUUUGAGCCCAGGAGUUCAAGACCAGGGUAGGCAAUGUAAGGAGACCCCAUCUCUACAAAAAACUAAAAAAAUUAGCCAAGCAUGGUCACGCGCCAGUAGUCCUAGCUGCUGGGGAGACUGAGGCAGGGAGGAUCAUUUGAGCCCAGAAGUUCGAGUGAGCUAUGAUCGCACCACUGCGCCUGCACCCUGCGGCUGCUCUUACCCUCCUGCCCCACAGACCGGUUACUCUUUAGACGAUCUCAGGUAGCUUAAGUCUGACUCUCGGGCUGGAGCAGCCGAGACAGCGCUCCCCAGCGGGACUACAGAAUCCCGGGUGUCGGCCUGGGGGCCCUGGAUUGGCAGUGGUGGAGUCUUCUGAGCCUAACAGCUACUAGGAAUGACAGAGUUGCAGAUGGCUUUGUCGCCCGCGGGGCGGCUCAAGCGUCCUGGGUCCCAGGCCUCUGUCCUACGGCCAGGCCGCCGGCUCAACGGGCCGAAGGGAAUCGGGCUGACCAGUCCUAAGGUCCCACGCUCCCCUGACCUCAGGGCCCAGAGCCUCGCAUUACCCCGAGCAGUGCGUUGGUUACUCUCCCUGGAAAGCCGCCCCCGCCGGGGCAAGUGGGAGUUGCUGCACUGCGGUCUUUGGAGGCCUAGGUCGCCCAGAGUAGGCGGAGCCCUGUAUCCCUCCUGGAGCCGGCCUGCGGUGAGGUCGGUACCCAGUACUUAGGGAGGGAGGACGCGCUUGGUGCUCAGGGUAGGCUGGGCCGCUGCUAGCUCUUGAUUUAGUCUCAUGUCCGCCUUUGUGCCGGCCUCUCCGAUUUGUGGGUCCUUCCAAGAAAGAGUCCUCUAGGGCAGCUAGGGUCGUCUCUUGGGUCUGGCGAGGCGGCAGGCCUUCUUCGGACCUAUCCCCAGAGGUGUAACGGAGACUUUCUCCACUGCAGGGCGGCCUGGGGCGGGCAUCUGCCAGGCGAGGGAGCUGCCCUGCCGCCGAGAUUGUGGGGAAACGGCGUGGAAGACACCCCAUCGGAGGGCACCCAAUCUGCCUCUGCACUCGAUUCCAUCCUGCAACCCAGGAGAAACCAUUUCCGAGUUCCAGCCGCAGAGGCACCCGCGGAGUUGCCAAAAGAGACUCCCGCGAGGUCGCUCGGAACCUUGACCCUGACACCUGGACGCGAGGUCUUUCAGGACCAGUCUCGGCUCGGUAGCCUGGUCCCCGACCACCGCGACCAGGAGUUCCUUCUUCCCUUCCUGCUCACCAGCCGGCCGCCGGCAGCGGCUCCAGGAAGGAGCACCAACCCGCGCUGGGGGCGGAGGUUCAGGCGGCAGGAAUGGAGAGGCUGAUCCUCCUCUAGCCCCGGCGCAUUCACUUAGGUGCGGGAGCCCUGAGGUUCAGCCUGACUUUCCCGACUCCGCCGGGCGCUUGGUGGGCUCCUGGGCUUCUGGGCUCACCCUUACACCUGUGUACUAAAGGGCUGCUACCCUCCCGAGGUGUACGUCCGCCGCCUCGGCGCUCAUCGGGGUGUUUUUUCACCCUCUCGCGGUGCACGCUUUUUCUCUCACGUCAGCUCACAUCUUUCAGUACACAGCCACUGGGUCUCCCUGCCCCUCCAGCCUUUCCUAGGCAGCUUUGAGGGCCCAGACGACUGAAGUCUUACUGCUAGGAUGGGAACACGAUGAAAAAGGAAGGGGCCCAGUCAAAAGUCCUCUCCUCUUCGGUUUUUC